AUGUAUUGUCAAGGUAUGUUUCUCCGCAAAGAACUAUGGAGGCAUACUCGCAGGUGCCCUCACAAACCAGAAAAUGCAAACCAAGAACAGACGUCUGGAAGGAGAAGGAUACUCAGCUUUGCAGCAGCUCAGGAUUCUGCAUUAUGUGCGCAAAUCUCGGGUGGGGUUUGGAAGCUUCUGAGUGUUAUGAAUGUUGAUGAAGUUGGAUCAGUUGUGCGAAAUGACUUCUGUAUUCUCCAGUUUGCCCAGUCACUUUACAACAUUCAUGGAAAAGAUACAACAAAGUAUGAAUACAUAAUACAAAAACUGAGAGAAGUGGGACGUCUGCUGCUGUGCUUGCGCACAGAUUUCUCUGUGCCAACCCUAGAAGAUGCUGUUAGGCCUGCAAACUUUGAGAAAGUGGUACAAGCGGUCAAAAAGGUAGCAGGUUUUAAUGAUGACAAUCUUUCGUACAAAACACAGAGCCUUGCUCUUAAACUUGGCCACACACUAAAUAAGAUCUGUGACAUCAUCCACUGCAGGGGCUUGAUGGCAGAAGAUGAGAAGCUGGUUAAGUAUACUGAAACAUUUAAGAAGUUGCUCAGUACCAAGUGGAAAGAACAUGUAUCUCACAAUGCCCUUAACACACUGAGUGAUGCCAAGUUUAAUAAACCUUUAACCUUACCAUUCACUGAAGAUGUUGUGAAACUUCACAAGUUUUUGGAAAAGGCAGCAGAAGAGGCCACAAGCAAACUUCAAGAAAAAGAUUAUGCUCAAAAUUAUGCUCGUCUUGCCAUGGUAUUGCUCACACAAAUCAUUGUGUUCAACCGUCGGCGAGCUGGAGAGGUUUCCAAAAUGCCUCUGAAAAAUUUUCUGGAGAGGGAUAAUCAAAAACUUCAUGAUGUAAGCCUUGGUUUAUCGGACACAGAAAAGAAGCUCUGCAGAUAUCUAAGUCGCGUGGAAAUUAUGGGUAAAAGAGGGAGAAAAGUUGCAGUUCUUCUCCCCCGACAUGUUGUCAAUGGUCUUACACUACUCACAAAUAAGAGGAAAGAAUGUGGUGUGUCUCCCUCAAACCCAUUCUUAUUUGCACGACCCAAAGCACCAACCCAUUAUAGAGGAAGUGACUGCCUGAGACGUUUCUCCACACAGUGCGACGCAAAGUACCCUGAGCAUCUCCGGUCAACCAGUCUCAGGAAACAUGUGGCCACGCUCUCUCAAGUCUUAAAUCUCAAGAAUAAUGAGCUAGAUCAGGUGGCAGACUUCCUUGGCCAUGAUAUUCGCGUACACAGGGAAUUCUACAGACUGCCUGUUCCAACAACACAGCUUGCAAAGAUAUCAAAAGUAUUGCUUUUAAUGGAGAAGGGAUCCAUUUCCUCACUAAAAGGAAAGACGCUUGAUGAGAUUGAACUUGAAGGUUUGUUAAAUGUAUGUCUUUUUUAUUCUAUCGCUGUCUGCUUAUCUAUCACACAUGUAAGGAUGCACAUUCUGUUAAUUUACUAA
rnacentral:lncRNA from 1 species